AUUGAACGCUGGCGGCGUGCUUAACACAUGCAAGUCGAACGAUGAAGCUGGAGCUUGCUCUAGCGGAUUAGUGGCGAACGGGUGAGUAAUACGUGAGCAAUCUGCCCUUGACUCUGGGAUAACCGCGGGAAACUGUAGCUAAUACCGGAUACGAGACUUAGAGGAAUCUCUGAGUAUGGAAAGAAUUUCGGUCAAGGAUGAGCUCGCGGCCUCUCAGCUAGUUGGUGAGGUAAUGGCUCACCAAGGCGACGACGGGUAGCCGGCCUGAGAGGGUGACCGGCCACACUGGGACUGAGACACGGCCCAGACACCCACGGGAGGCAGCAGUGGGGAAUAUUGCACAAUGGGCGAAAGCCUGAUGCAGCAACGCCGCGUAAGGGAUGAAGGCCUUCGGGUUGUAAACCUCUUUUAGCAGGGAAGAAGCGAAAGUGACGGUACCUGCAGAAAAAGCACCGGCUAACUACGUGCCAGCCGCCGCAGUAA
rnacentral:rRNA from 1 species